CACCCCUUUAACGAACAAAUUCUAGUUGAUCCUUUUAUUAUUGUGGUGGUUGAUACUACUUCACUGUGUCAUGGUAAUUUGUCAUCCUUGGCAUGCAUGGCACUUCAUCCGCUUUAUAAUGCACCCCCUCUUCUGUGUCUGGGGAACAACCGGGGCUUGAUGGAAGUGGGGCUGCCUUACCACCUUGGCCAGGGAGGUGAUGAUGCGUGAAACGGUGUCCUUUAUUGCCGGAGAUAAUGCUCUGGCGCUGGGAGGGAGAGAGCCUGGAGUGGGAAAGCUCAUUCCCUUGAAGUGAAGGAAUUAAGCUGCAGCAUUUCUGCUCAGCCUAUACCACUGACCAGUGGCAGAGACAGAAUAACUGCACUUACUGGAUCUCUGAUUUGAGAUGGUCAUCGAUUUUUAUAAUUGGGCAAGAGACCUCAUAUUCCUCCUCAAACAGGUGAAGAGGCCCAAACAAAGGACUUGUGACAUCCCAGCCCAAUUUCUUUUUGACUUUCUGUAACUUGCAUAAAAGUAGAUGAUGAAAAGGUAUUCUGCACUUUUCCUCUCUGCUGGAUUUUCCAUUGGAAACACAUGUUGGAGGCAUGAGUGGGAUCAAUAACAUCACAGAGCUUUAAAGACUGAUUAAAUGAUCAAGGACAGAUACAUUUGAGGAUAAGCUGAAAAACUGUUCACAGAAGCAGUUGGUGCAGAGCAGAGGUGACUGGACUGGACAAUGAGGGUUUCAUGUGCAGAUACGUUUGAAUUUUUCUGCCUGGAAUUCUGUGCUUGUUACAUAACCUCUCUUGAUUAAUUGAGCCCCUGUGCCAGGUUGUCAGCUGCAGCUGAGGUAUGUCUGGCACAGCCAAGAACUGGCACACCAGCCUGCUGCUAGGUUUUGCCCUGUUCCACCCCAAGCCUCAGACAGAAUGAGCCUCAGGAACACCUGAUGGCUUGGAUGUUCCUGUGUUGGUUCUGUACCACCUGAAGACUCCCCUUCACACCAAACAAAACGUCCAGUCCUUUGACUUCACACUGGUCAGAGCAGCCCCACAGAAAUUCUGACUUCGACAGAACAUUCCUGGAGGCCCCAUGCUCUGGUCAUGAGCAGACAGCCUUUUGCACAAGGUAAAAAUAUCAGCCAUUCCACUGGUCAUGAGCCACUCUAAUAACUACUGAUGUCUGGGGGACCUAGAACACAUUAGGUGCAUUAGGACAACUGGAAUUUGUUAUAUUGAAUAUGUGAUUCUAGUCUUGCAUUUUUAGGUCCCAAAUGGAAGAAGUCUUAAGAGAUAUUCAAAGAGAAGUCAUGGUGAAACGAGUUUUCCCUUUAUUCCAUGCAGUAGUGAAGAGUGAACAGAAUUAGGGAAG